rnacentral:rRNA from 1 species
UACAGAGGGGGCAAGCGUUGUUCGGAAUUACUGGGCGUAAAGGGCGCGUAGGCGGCGCAACAAGUCACUUGUGAAAUCUUCAGGCUUAACCUGAAGCGGCCAAGUGAUACUGUCGUGCUAGAGUGCGGAAGGGGCAACUGGAAUUCUUGGUGUAGCGGUGAAAUGCGUAGAUAUCAAGAGGAACACCUGCGGCGAAGGCGGGUUGCUGGGCCGACACUGACGCUGAGGCGCGAAAGCUAGGGGGAGCGAACAGG